GGCUGUCGGGAGUGUCUUCUUUGUCGAUCGAGGAAGGCGAAGGGGACGGGGACGGGGGCGGAAGAGGGAGCUACAUCGCCGGGGGAUACUCGUGUUUCGCGACGCCUUGCCGGAUUUGCUCGGCCAGCUCCCGGAUCUUGACCAUGCCUCGCCGGUGCAAUGCUUGUAACACGUUUGACGUUGUGUGCAAGCGUCCCAAUGUGUGUUUAUCAUCUUUCACCAUCACCAUGGGCGACGGGUGCAGGGAUGUCGUGGCUGUACCGCACUGCUUCAUAGAUCGACUCAACGACUUUGUUGAGAACUUUCUUGUUGUGCGGGACCUCAGCGGAUUUAACUAUGAUGUGUUUGUGGAGAGGAGGAAGGAUGCGACUGUUCUGUGUGGUGCUUAUUAGAGACUUUUCGCAAGGAUCCACAAGCUUAAAGUUGGCGAUAGUGUCAGGUUCUCCGCUGCUGAUUACGGGUCUGUCUUCGAAGCCGCAGUGGAAGGGCAGGGCGAUGUUAUUGGUGAAAAUGCAAUCUUAUUUGGGUUGCAGGAAGUGACCUACGAAGUUCGUGAUUUGUUCCAUUCAAUUGUUUUUACAGACAUGGCUAGUCUGCGCGAUGCCGAUGUUUCAAGGAUCUUAGUUGCUUUAUAAGAUGUUGAUCUAUAUGUCGAAUAUCAGCGCGAGUUCAUCGUUCACAGGAUGAGUGAUGUGGAUACGGCCUUAGGACUCAUGGAGUCAUGGAAAAGGAAAAAUGAAAAUAUUUGAUAUAAUGGAGUAACAGACGAUUGUUGAUGACUAGCAAUUAAGCACUACAUCUAUAAGGGGGAUACAACUGAUCAAAGAUCACGCAUGGCCUCUCUUCUUAUCAGGGGAGAUGAUAAGAUGUUUGUACUAAAAGGUGUACUAGAUUUGUGGUUGUGACCUUCGUGUUCGAUUUUUGCCCAAGUCCACUAAUCCAAAUAUCCAUUGAUUCCAUAGUUAUAAUAUAGACAGAGAGGGAGAAAGUAUAAAGAGAAAAGUUGCAGCUGUCUGUUCUUGUGAUGGAACUAUCUCUGAUGAUGAUUCAACACCGCUUGUUGUUGUCAUACUUGGAUGAAUAUCUUUGACAGUUGGAAUUUGUUUUCAUGUUUGGCUUCAGUUAUGAGAAGGAGAAAGAUAAGUGUUACUAUUAUACAUGGAUUGGCAAGAAUAGCAAGUAAUCAUGGCUACUACUUACAAAGUUACAAACCAUAUUUUGGUGUUGGUCUAGGACCUUUGUCGGUAGCUUUGCACUUCUAAAUGAAACUUGGAUGGAUUUUGUCUGCAGGCCAUAUUAAAACGGCUUGUUGACUGAGCCACCAAUUAUUUAUUGGGCUUAUGAAAUGUCAGUUAAAAUUAUAUUACAAGCGUCAUAAGAGUAUGAUGGAACAAUAGAGACUAAAGUUGAGGAUAGCACAUCCUGAAAGAGUUGAUGUUCAACUGGGUUUCAUGUGACAAACAGGGCAUCCCUCUGCAGGUUAAGCAUGCACUGAAAAACCCGUUUUCGGGGGAUGCUAGCCUAGAUUCAGACAAGCUGAAACAAUUCCAUGAUUGGCGAAUACACCACAGUAAGCGGCAGCACUGUUAUUAUUGAUGGAUGGGCAGAUUUCUGUCUCGGUCAAGGAAUCAGAAGGGACAUCGUUCUGAUGAUUGAGGUCGACACCAUGGGCGGCCUGCAUCUGUAUGUGGACAUCAUCAAUCGGUGACUGCCAGGGUAGGGGGCGUUUCAGUUGAAGAUAUAUAUGCAAGAGACAAUUUUCUGCUUUGUUUUUUUCCGAGAGUUCUAGCAGCUACCUGGGAUAUUUGUGUAUUUGACAGCAGCGGGGUUAUUUGUAACAUGAAUGCUGGAGUACUUUUUAGUAUUUGUCUUUUUUGGGUCCUGGACGGCGUCAUCAGGAAAGCUGAUUUUCUUUCGGAUGUGAUGUCCAAUUUUUUUACUUUUUGCGGUUGGGGCUUUGAGACCUGUAAUUUGGAUGCGAAUUCCUUCCGACAACUUGCACAUCAUGCACCCAUACGCCCAAGUAGGCUGUUUUGACUUGCGACAUGACUUGCACAUUGUACCAAGAGAAUGCACAAGUA